AAAUUGAAGAGUUUGAUCAUGGCUCAGAUUGAACGCUGGCGGCAGGCCUAACACAUGCAAGUCGAACGGUAGCACAGAGAGCUUGCUCUCGGGUGACGAGUGGCGGACGGGUGAGUAAUGUCUGGGAAACUGCCUGAUGGAGGGGGAUAACUACUGGAAACGGUGGCUAAUACCGCAUAACGUCGCAAGACCAAAGAGGGGGACCUUCGGGCCUCUUGCCAUCAGAUGUGCCCAGAUGGGAUUAGCUAGUUGGUGAGGUAACGGCUCACCAAGGCGACGAUCCCUAGCUGG
rnacentral:rRNA from 1 species